ACUAAAAUUUUACGUGUUGUUGAUUCUUCGGAAUUAUGGAUGAAUUUAAACAGGGGAUCUUAAGAAUAGCGGGUGUCUUAGCCCCCAUAUUAUCUAAAAUAAUUUUUUUUUUAGCAUUUUGAGCUUGAAAACUACGAGAUUCCGAAACAAAAGAAUCCUCUGCAGCUAGUUUGUUUGAAACUAAAAUAACAUAGCUCUGGUAAAAGUGUAAAAACGUUAAAAAGUAGUUUAAGUGGUUUAUCAAUAAGUGGUCUUUUAUUUCUGGAUUAUCAUUUUCAUUUGCAACAAAAAUACUGAAAAAUUAAAAAAAAAGAAUAAUAAUAAUAAAGUAAGGCUUCAUAAUUGACAUCGUUGUUAUUUAUUAAAAUAACGGAUUUUUAACGCUGCGUGCUGAAUCGACGGGAAACAAGUUAUUUAUUCUCAGAUUUGUGUAUACCCUAUCAAAUGUUUGUUUUCAUACACCCUUUCAAAUGUUUAUUUUUAAACACCUUAUAAAAUGUUGUUUUAUUUCGCAACUGCUUUUAUCUCUAUCAAAAUAAUUUUGAUUAUAUUGUUACUGAGUUACGUGAAAAUACUAAUUACCGUAAAUUAACUGUAACUCCCAAACUUACUAUAAAACUGUGUUUCGAAUUAGCUUUAUGGAUGAUAACUAAUUUUUAAAAGAAUGAAGUUUUUGAAGCAAAACGAUCCGAGAAAGCUUCAUAAUUUUAAGAUACCGUUCUGAGAUCGCACAAUAUCCCCUAGUGAAUAGUUUCGAUUUCGGAAAGAUCUCAUUCGAUUUGAUUAUUUAACAAAACAGGAAGAUAAAAGAAAGCAGGAAAGCGUGUUUAAAUAAGCACGUUCAAGUGAUUUAUUGUUUAUGUCGGUCACGAAUUAAACUGUAACUGCAAAUAAAAAAGUAAAAAAUUUACCUUUAUGGAAUAAAAAUUAAUCACUUUACGUAAUAAAUAAGUUAAAAGAUUGUUUAUUUACCUUUUCAUUGUGGUAACUUACAAUAGAGAUAUAUAUUUUUAGUUUAAGUGUUUAAUAGACAACAAAAGAAAAAGUAGGCUUUUAGAACUCCGCAAUCCAAUAAAACUCGAGACUUGAAUUAAAUGACAUUAUUAAAGAAAUUUCUAACAACGAUAAAAUAUUGGAGUAUCUGCAACUAUUCAAUAUCAUUACAUCUUUUGGUUAUAAAUGCUGAAAAUGAUGAGUCUUACAACGUCCAUUUGUUUGAUGACUUUGCUGAUCGUACAACACGUUAAAACAGUGAGAAGUCGACCCCUUGGUGAAGAUGUAUCAUGCGAUUACAAAUGCACGUCAGAAUUUGAUGCCUGUUCAGCGCAUGCUGGAGAAAUGAAAGAAUUUCAGAUUUGUUCAGUUUCAAAGUAUCAAUGUUUUAACGCGUGCAAAGAUGUAUCCGACUUUUUACUUUACGCUAAGCAAUAAAACAAAAAAUCUCUCU